rnacentral:rRNA from 1 species
UGUAACAACUCACCUGCCGAAGCAACUAGCCCUGAAAAUGGAUGGCGCUCUAGCGUCGUGCCUAUACCGGGCCGUCAACGGCACAGUGGGCGUCUGGCCUUUGGUCAGAGCCGUUAAGCCUUGACGAGUAGGAGGGUCGCGGCGGUGUGCGCAGAAGGGUCAGGGCGUGAGCCCGCCUGGAGCCGCCGUCGGCGCAGAUCUUGGUGGUAGUAGCAAAUACUCUAGCGAGGGCCUGGAGGACUGACGUGGAGAAGGGUUUCUUGUGAACAGCCGUUGCACAAGAGUCAGUCGACCCUAAGCUCUAGGAGAAAUCCGAUGGCGAUGGGUGGCUAAACAACGUACCUAACCACGUUGUGUGUCUCUUCUGAUGCCCCUGUUGGGCAAAAGGGAGUCCGGUUCCUAUUCCGGAACCCGGCUGCGGAACCGUCACUCUGCGGGCACUCGCCUGCGAGCGCUCGUCGGGGUAACCCAAACUGGCCCGGAGACGCCGGCGGGGGGUCUGGAAAGAGUUUUCUUUUCUUUAUAAGCGUUCGAGUACCCUGGAAUCCUAUAGCAGGGAGAUAGGGUUUGGAACGCGAAGAGCACCGCAGUUGCGGCGGUGUCCGGACCUUCCCCCCGGACCUUGAAAAUCCGGGUGAGGGCUACGCGGAAGUCGCGCCGGAUCGUACCCAUAUCCGCAGCAGGUCUCCAAGGUUAAGAGCCUCUAGUCGAUAGAAUAAUGUAGGUAAGGGAAGUCGGCAAA